rnacentral:rRNA from 1 species
UACAGAGGUCUCAAGCGUUGUUCGGAUUCAUUGGGCGUAAAGGGUGCGUAGGUGGCGGGGUAAGUCAGGUGUGAAAUCUCGGGGCUUAACCCCGAAACUGCACUUGAUACUGCCUUGCUCGAGUACUGGAGAGGAGAUUGGAAUUUACGGUGUAGCAGUGAAAUGCGUAGAUAUCGUAAGGAAGACCAGUGGCGAAGGCGAAUCUCUGGACAGUUACUGACACUGAGGCACGAAGGCCAGGGGAGCAAACAGG